ACUUGACUUUGCUCGACAAGAAAAAUCAAGCAAGAAAAAAUGAAGAUGACUUUGUUCUUUCUUUUGUGCUUUUUUGUCUCGGCCACUUGGCAACACAACAUCUAUUGGUCCUACCCUCCAAGACGUGUUCCAUUUUAUUCCAUGUUCGACAAAAAUCUUCAAGAUAAUUUGCCAAUCCGGCUCAUUCCUUUGGACCCAACUGAGCUGCAAUAUUCAAAAAGAUACGGCUACCGACAUUUCGAACCGGAUGUCGUUGAACAACCCAUCCUUGCUGAGAAUUCUUUGGGAAUAAGUAACAUUUACCAUAGGAUGAAAACCAAUUUAGAACCGAAAACCUUUGGCUUCAACAAUUACUUGGCCAGUUUGUUCUUGAAUUCGCUGAGCGUCUCCACUACAGUCACUUCGGUCACUACUUCUGUAAUUACUGCUGCCACUGUGGUUACCUGCUAUGCCAAGACCAUGUUCAGCAAUGCAGCUCCUACUGCCUGUCGACGCAAGAGAGAUGCAGAUUCUAGUCUGUUGA